rnacentral:rRNA from 1 species
AUUGAACGCUGGCGGCAUGCUUUACACAUGCAAGUCGAACGGCAGCACGGGGGCGAACCCUGGUGGCGAGUGGCGAACGGGUGAGUAAUGCAUCGGAACGUAUCUUCAAGUGGGGGAGUAACGCACCGAAAGGUGUGCUAAUACCGCAUAAUCUCUACGGAGAAAAGCAGGGGAUCGCAAGACCUUGCGCUUUUGGAGCGGCCGAUGUCUGAUUAGCUAGUUGGGAGGUAAAGGCUUACCAAGGCUUCGAUCAGUAGCUGGUCUGAGAGGACGACCAGCCACACUGGGACUGAGACACGGCCCAGACUCCUACGGGAGGCAGCAGUGGGGAAUUUUUGGACAAUGGGGGAAACCCGUGAUCCAGCCAUGCCGCGUGAGUG